GGAUCGUCAAUUCACAUUUUCACCUAACCCCGAAUCGUAACCAACUUAGGUUCAAUUAUUCAAUUUACGUCCAUCAAUUAUCAAAACAGAACCUAGAACCUUAAUCACAAUCUAAUAAUGACAUUGGCGGCCAUUGGCCACGCGCCGCCGCGGGUGGCGGUUGGCCGCCCCCGGCUCGCCGGAAAAUUCAACUAUUUCCAAAAAUUACCAAAAUUUGCAGAUUUGAAGAUCUCAAUGAGUUCAACUUUCCAUACCUGAGACCAAGGCCAAUUUGGCCUGGAAGUGCUUCAAUUUCAUUUCACCAAAACCGUGAAGAACCCUAGAAUUUGGGUGUUUCCCAAUUCGACCUUCAAACUUGUUCCAACGCCUCAAUUACCUCUUGGGGCUUUGUUCUUAGGUCCUAAAGGAAUGCUAAAGGUGUUAGUAAUUGAAAGAAAACAUUUCAAAAUUUGGAGAAUUUGAACAAAAGGGUCGCGGCACCCGUAUGGGUGUUCUUCGCGAAAUCACAACAAAAUUCAAUGAUUCUUGGGGUAAAACGUAAGAGGGAAGGCCUAGAUGUUGAUUGGGAGUGGUACCUUGAUCCAAUUCGCUGGAAAAAUGAAGAAAAUUUCGACGAAAAUGGGUGGAAAAACCCACCGGUCGCGGGUUGUGACCCAUUUCUGUUUCUGUUCUUCUUCCUCCGCUUCUCGCCUUCUCUCCUUUCCUCCUUUCCUGGUUCCUGUUCCUGGCCAGCCCUUCCUCUCUCUUCUUUUCCUGAUUUUUCCUGGACCUUCCUUCCUUCUUUCCCUUCUCUUCUCUCUUCUUCUUCCAGUCCAUUUCCUAAAAACCUUCUUUUCUUCUUUCUUCGUACUUCACACACAUUAAAACCUCUUUAAAUUAUUUUCUUAUUUCUUCUUACAUCUAAGCCAUCCAUUUUCAAAAUCCUUAAAUCUGGGCCAUCCAUUUUAAUAAUUUUAAAAAUCUCAAAAAAUGUCCAAAACUUCUUCAACUUUAAAAUCUUUUUCAUUAUAACUCCAAAUAAUGAACUGUCUGCGCCCACACGUUCGUAGCGACGAGUACUACGAGGAUAUGUCAAGAAAACAAAUCUUGGAUGGCACGAAACAACGAUUAACCUCGAACAAUGUGCGUGCCUCAAAUGGCAUUUUUGUAAAAUUCUUUAUUAAAACUUUAAAAAUUCUUAAAAUUAGGGACGGGCUGUCACAAUCUACCCACCUUACAGAAAUUUCGUCCUCGAAAUUUACACAAUCUUUACAAUCCAUCAAUAUCCAUGAAACAGCCCGAAACACAUCUCUCUCAUUCGAUUCUUUGACUUCCAAGUAGCGUCUUCCACUGAAAGAUUCCUCCAUAAACUUUCACCAAACUCAUAGUCUUAUUUCUCAGUACAUCAUCUUUCUAAUACAAGAUGGGCACUGGCUCCUCAUCAUACGUCAAAUCCACAUUGACUUCCAAAGGUUGAGAAGGUAUCACUCGUGAAGGAUAUGAGGUUUAAUGUCGAAGUAUCGAAACAUAAAACAUAUCAUGCCCUUUCAUCGGCUCUGGAGGCAACUCAGCCUGUACGUAACUUCACUGACUCGUUCGAUGAUCAUAGAUGGUCUGACGUAUCUAGGACUUACUUGUUUUUCUUUUUAAAACGAAUCAUACUUUUCCAAGGUGAUAAUUUCAAAAUCAUUCGAUCACCUACAUAUACAUCCGGUCAGUGGCAUGUUUGUCUGCUAAGCUCUUCAGCCGAUCCUGGCCCACUUUCAGGUUAGACUUAAUUACUUGAAUAUUCUGAGUAGUCUCCUCCAUUAACUCAGGGUUUUAAAUACCAUCCGUCCACAAUUCUAACAAUUUGAAACACAAGACACAACUUUCCACGACCUUAUGGCGUUGCUCUCGGGGACAAACUGAAAGGACCAACAUAUCCAAGAAGUUCAACAAAUCUGUAAGUCUAAAUCUCUUUUCCAUAAGACAGAUAAAUAACUGUUGCACUUCUGGAAAGGUUACUGCUCUUUCAUCGAAGAACAUUGUGCUGAUUUAGUAAACCAAUCAAUUAUCACUUCAAAUUUCAUCAUAACCAUCUCGUAAACGAGGGAGCUUGCACACAUAAUCUAUAUUAAUAUUUUCUCAUUUUCACCGUGGAACGGGAAGUGACUACAUCAAUCCAAAAGACUUCUUUCUUUCCGUUAUUCCUUGCUUUAAAUAAAUUUCUUGAAUUUCUUCAUCAAACGUUUGAGUCUCGAGUACGACCUACCAAAUAGACCUAACUUGAAAAUUAGCAAGUACGUUUUCUUUUCGAUCUUCCAUUCCCAACUUUACUCCAGUAGGUCUCAAUCUACAAGAAGAUGAACAUGGCAAUCGUACCAAGCAUUAAUUCUCACUGGGUCUUCCUACUAUAAGCAUUGGCCAUAACAUUAGCUCGACUACCCUAGUCGUACAAUCAUAAUCACUAAGCAACUCAAUCCACCUUUGUUGCCUGAGAUUAAGAUACCUCUGAAUAAACAGAUAUUGGGUACUCUUCGAUUUGUAACAAUCGUGCACUUUUCUUCCGAUAAAGACAAAGUCUCCAAAUCUUCAAAGCAAAGAUGAUAGCUACUAAUUCCAAAUCAUAAUUAGGGUAAUUCAUCUCAUGAAGUUUUAAUUGCCGUAAAACAUAGGUAAUCACCCUAACAUGCUGCAUCAACGCGCAUUCAAGAACAUCCAACGUAGCCUCACUAUAAACCUUAUAAUUACCAUUAUCGUCUGGAAAUGCGAAAACAGAUGCAUGAGUGAGGGAAUACUUUACUUGCUGAAGCUCUACUCACAAUUUUUCAUCCCACUCAAACGUAAUCUCUUUUCUCAUCAAUCUCACCAAGGGCAAAGCAAUGAUUGAAAAAUCUUGGACGAACUAUCAGUAAUAACCUGCUAAGCCAAGAAAACUCUGAAUCUCAGUCACAGUUCGCAAUUGUUCCAAGUUCUCAAUCGUUGCUACUCUUUUAAGAAUCCACUUGAAUAUCUUAAGUAGAUAUAAUUAAUUUCAGAAUGCCACCUGAUUCAUCUAACUUUAGCCUUUGCUAAACUUAGCAUACAACCAACGUUCUCUCAAUCUUUGAAAGUACACAUGCACCUCUGAGCUGAUCAAAUAAACAUCAGUACACCACAAUGGAUAACGGUUCUCAAUCGUUACCCGAUUCCAUUAUCUAUAAUCAAUGCAUAGUCUUUAAAGUCCAUUUUCUUUCUCAUCAACGAACUGGUGCUCCUCAAAAAUGUUGUACUAGGUUAAAUAAAACUUUUAUCAACCAAUUCUCUCAACUGAAUAUUCCCUUAACUAAUCCUGAACCAAUCUUUAACAUAAAUUUAUACCUGGCAACAAUUCAAUAGUGAACCUCAUAUCUCUGCCUGAAGGCAAUCCAGGUAUACUUUCAAGGAAGACAUCAAGAAAAGUCUAACCCUUUUGACAUUAUUCACACUACUCCAAACAACAUCAUUUAGCACCACAUGAGCUAAGUAUUUUUUUUUUUGACAGCCUUUCGAAAACAAUCUCUUUGCUCUCACAGCAUAAAUAACGGCCUGACUCAAUCCACUUUGCAUACUUACAAAAGUAAUCUCUGGUCAUCCAGAUCGAUGGAAAGUGACUGGUUUCCCGUAACAAUCCAUUUAGUCACAAUUAUAACCAACCAAUCUAAUGAAAAUAAUUUAACCGACACAAUACAUACUUUAUUAAUACUGAACAUUCUAAAUAAGUACAACACUAACAUAAAAUAACCUACUGGUUUGCUUGCUUAACGAAUCCACGAAUGAGUUAUUAAUAUUACGGUCUGCAGCCCGCAAUACUGAUAAAUCAUCGUUGUCUCGAUAAGUAGGCAACAAUUCCCAAAGGUGUAAUACUAUCAUUUUGUUCUUCAUUAGAAUACACAUAUACGCCUCUAUCACGUUCCAACAUUACUUUCUUUGGCAUCAUCGUCCAUACUCAGAAAUAUAUCAGCCGGAGUCAACUAGAAUGACCUGUACGGCUGAUUCUCUAGCUCAACCAUCUAUGCUAGCACAUUAGUCGGAGUCACUUAUAGUGACCUGUGCGACUUACACAUCAAUUCCCCAGUAAAUACGUCGGCCGGAUCCACAUCUUGUGGUCUGUACAGCCGAGCCUAUAACUCACCAAUUUCUCAUGUGUCAGCCGGAUCCACCUCUGAUGGCCUGUACGACUGAACAUUUAACUCAUCCAACAUCCUUGUACCCACAGUCCAUAUGACCCAAACUAAUGAUCCAAACACCUGCUGGACUGAUACUGGUGGUAUCAGGGAAGACUGCUGGGUAAUAACUAAUUUUUAGGGACAAUUCACAAUUUUGUGUCUCCUCUGUUCACAUAAACACAUUCAUUAAUUUCACACUUCCCAAAGUGUUAAUUUUGUACCUGCUGCACAAAGGUACCUUUCCUUUAUUCAAAUCACCUUGUCUCUGAAAUCUGGGAUUACCAGCAAUUCUAUCACUUUGACUCUGACCAGUGGCAUUAAAACCUCAGCUGGAAAAAUUAGCUCUAACUUCACUUCUUUUGAAGCUCUGAGUCUUUCGAUAUUCUUGAUAUGACGAAUCAUUAACUUUAUCGUCUUCUUUUAAUUCCCAUUCUUUUCUUAUUCCUCUUCACUCUAGCUGAUCAUAUUCUUAGAGUCCUCAAGGCUCAACAACAUCUUGUAUACUCUUGGUAAGAAAUACAAUGGAUAGUGGUCACCCAAAAUACCACUUCCCUUUUUGCCACCCAGCUUAAAACAACAUAACACCUCCACCAAAAUGGCAGUAAUAUCUGAAUGGAAACGAGGCUAGUCUGAAAACUUUCUAUAAUAUUCAUUUAUCGUCAACUUCCUUGAUUCACAUUUGCAAACUAUUGCUUACUACCAUCGAUAAAUGCCGGAGGGAUAAACUUUUCCUUAAACAAGUCCUUAAACAAUUCUCAAUCGACUGUUCCUCCGGUGACAACAAAUCAUACUCAUGUUUCCACCAGGAUACAAAUUCAUAACCAAAACCAGGUAGUCGUCUCGACCCCUUGUCAGAAGGAAAUUUCAUUUGACUUGCAUAAUCUGAAACAUCUUUUCCAAAUGGUUAAACCGUUACUUCGCUCCCUCAGGUUCAUCAUUUCAUAAGGUGAUUCAAAUUCGACUCAUAUGCCGUCUUAAAAUGUCCCUUUUUGAUAAUAUACUGAAUCACCAUAAUAAUAGUUUCCCCCAAAACCGCUAAAUUAGGGAGACUAAGUUCCUCUAACUACGUGGUUUGCUACGAGGCGGUGUAGUUCUGACAGAAUUCACUAGAACUUCUCAAAAUGUCCAAGAUUGCAACCAUGCUCUGAUACCAACUGACACACCCCGUCCCGAAGGAGGGCAUGCUGGCCGUCACGUGGGAGUGACGUAACCAUUUACACAGUACGGAAGCUUUAAAUUUACAACUCCUAAGAUGAUACACCCGAAGGUGAGUCCUAAUUUGAUCCAUUCUGUCAGAAUCCCGCUGAAUUCCUCGUAGCCACCACACCUCAGCUAUUCUUUAACCUGGAGGGGCGCAAAACCAAAAUUGAGUGGGUCAGUAAAACAAUUCUUUUCCAAAUUCAACAUUUCUCAAAACGUUGUAACCCCUCUCCGUAAAACCUGUAUACUUUCCCAGAAAUGUAAAAUAUAAAUAUACAUAUAUAUUCUCAAUACUUCAAUUCAUUAACUCAACAUUUUUUUUUUUAUCAAUCAUGCCAUGCCAUGUCUAAAUUCAACAGUAUAAUAUGAAUGCAUCAACAUAAAUCAGGUGAAAGAAAAUAAUCAACCGGAGACCCUACAAUGGUCCUGUACGGUUGAAUCUAGAGCUCAAAAUAUCAUCUAACCGGAGUCACCAACUGUGACCUGUACGGCCAUGCCGGAGUCACCUAGUAUGACCUGUACGGCACUACACUGCACAUAAGUCGGAAUUACCUAAUGUAAUCUGUACGACUUAAUGGUGUAAUAAUAUGCUCUAGUGCUUUUCUCAUCAAUCAUCUGUGCACAUAAUCUAAGGUCACCUACCAGUCGGAACCCCUCUAACGGUCUGUACGACUGGCAUGUCGGAACCACCCCCGGUGGUCUGUACGACUAGCAUCUACUUGGAUCCAAGGUGAGCAUACGAUGCAGGGUGAAUAAUAUAAGCACUAAUACCAAGGUGCAGUUUAUGAGCUCAACAUCAUCAUAACAGUAAUAAUAUUCACCUGUGCGUCCACCGCACCAUUUCACAUAUAUGCAUCAUACAACAAUUCAUAAUAUUCAUGAAAUUCUAUGCAUGGCAACCAACUAUAUUCCAUAUCACAAUUCAACAUACUUUUCAUUUAAAGCAUAAUUUCAUGCAUUUUCAAUUUCUGGGAAAACGGCAAGUAUAUAUGUAUACGGAAAACAAAACUGCCCACUCACCUGGAGUUCGCCCUACAACUCCCUAGCACAAUACGCCAAGGCGUCAUGACGAUCGCCGCCUAGAACAGUAAUCAAAUCCAACCUCAGAAUUCAUAUCGAUAGAAUAUAACUUAUAUAAAAUACGUCACUACGUAGUUCGAUCCAGAAGAUCUGCAAUUCAGAUUUUAAAUCCAUAACUUCCAGAGGUCCACAAUAUAUCUCUAGGAUAACCUCCUAAAAUUUCAUUACCAUCCAACGGUCGGAUCUCCGUCAAUUUCCAAAACUAAGUGACGGUUAACAUUUUAUUUUAUGAACUUACAACUUCAAUUCCGGAAGAUCCGUAAAUCGGAUUCCCAAUCCGUAAGUUCCUAUAAUCCUCAAAUAUUACGUAUUACAACGUAUCAAAGUUUGAUGACGAUCCAACGGUCGGAUCGUCAAUUCACAUUUUCACCUAACCCCGAAUCGUAACCAACUUAGGUUCAAUUAUUCAAUUUACGUCCAUCAAUUAUCAAAACAGAACCUAGAACCUUAAUCACAAGCUAAUAAUGACAUUGGCGGCCAUUGGCCACGCGCCGCCGCGGGUGGCGGUUGGCCGUCCCCGGCUCGCCGGAAAAUUCAACUAUUUCCAAAAAUUAUCAAAAUUUGCAGAUUUGAAGAUCUCAAUGAGUAGAACAACUUUCAUACCUGAGACCAAGGCCAAUUUGGCCUGGAAGUGCUUCAAUUUCACCAAAACCGUGAAGAACCCUAGAAUUUGGGUGUUUCCAAUUCGACCUUCAAACUUGUUCCAACGCCUCAAUUACCUCUUGGGCUUUGUUCUAGGUCCUAAAGGAAUGCUAAAGGUGUUAGUAAUUGAAAGAAAACAUUUCAAAAUUUGGAGAAUUUGAACAAAAGGGUCGCGGCACCCGUAUGGGUGUUCUUCGCGAAAUCACAACAAAAUUCAAUGAUUCUUGGGGUAAAACGUAAAGAGGGAAGGCCUAGAUGUUGAUUGGGAGUGGUACCUUGAUCCAAUUCGCUGGAAAAAUGAAGAAAUUUCGACGAAAAUGGGUGGAAAACCCACCGGGUCGCGGGUUGUGACCCAUUUCUGUUCUUCUUCCUCCGCUUCUCGCCUUCUCUCCUUUCCUCCUUUCCUGGUUCCUGGUUGGCCAGCCCUUCCUCUCUCUUCUCCUGAUUCGCUGGACUCCCUCCUUUCUCUCCCGGAGCUCUGGCUCUCUCUUCUUCUGGUUGGGCAGUUUUUGCCCAGUCCUAAAUCUUCUUCUUCUUCUUCUUCUUCUUCUUCACGUACACACACACAUAAAACCUUCUUUCCUAAUUUUAUUUUUAUUUUCUUUCUCUUACAUCUAAGCCAUCCAUUUCAAAAUCCUUAAAUCUGGGCCAUCCAAAUUUUAAUAAUAAAAAUCAUAAAAUGUCCAAACUUCAAACUUUAAAAUCUUUUUCAUUAUAACUCCAAAUAAUGAACUGUCUGCGCCCACACGUUCGUAGCGACGAGUACUACGAGGAUAUGUCAAGAAAACAAAUCUUGGAUGGCACGAAACAACGAUUAACCUCGAACAAUGCGCGUGCCUCAAAUGGCAUUUUUGUAAAAUUCUUUAUUAAAACUUUAAAAAUUCUUAAAAUUAGGGACGGGCUGUCACA
rnacentral:lncRNA from 1 species